UACGUAGGGGGCAAGCGUUGUCCGGAUUUAUUGGGCGUAAAGAGCGUGUAGGCGGCCAGAUAGGUCCGUUGUGAAAACUGGAGGCUUAACCUCCAGCUGUCGAUGGAAACCAUCUGGCUAGAGUCCGGAAGAGGAGAGUGGAAUUCCUGGUGUAGCGGUGAAAUGCGCAGAUAUCAGGAAGAACACCCGUGGCGAAGGCGGCUCUCUGGGACGGUACUGACGCUGAGACGCGAAAGCGUGGGGAGCAAUCCGG
rnacentral:rRNA from 1 species